rnacentral:lncRNA from 1 species
AGGAAAUUGGGUGGGUGAGCCCUGGGGACUUCAAGGAGAAGAGCAAGUGCAAAGGCCCUGAGGUGGGCAUAUGUUUGGGCUGCUCAGGGAGCAGUGUGGCCGGAGCAGGUUGAUAGGGGAGACUAAUAGGAGGUGACGCUGGAGAGAGAGUUGGUGGCUGGCCCUGCGGGGUCUUAAAGGCCAUUGUGAGGGUGCGGCUUUAUCCUGAGUGAAGAAGGGAAGUGAGCAGAGGAUUUUGAGCAAAGCAUUCCUCGAUCUGCUGUGUGGAAGAUAGGAUUUUGCCCCUGAACUCCCCAUACAGAUUCCGCCCAUCGGCGAGCUGACCACGUUCAGACUUCCACCUGCUCCGGCUUGCUAAUAUUCCAGCCGACUGAUGUGAUCAUCACCAGGGGUUGUGGUCAUCAUCUUCAGGGAAGGCGAAGGCAAGGUGGGGAGAGACGCCUCCUGCUGGGUGGACUCGGAGAGGCCUUGCUGGUGUUUUCAGAGCAGAGAGGCUCCUGAACACGGAAGAGGACUCCUCGGCUGCAGCUGGAGGACACAGCCCUGGGCUUCGGAGUGCCCCAUCGGGGCAGUAGAAAGAAGAAAAGCAAGGAUGGGCCACAGGUUUCUGUCAGUCUGGUGAACCCCAGCGGGCACCUCUCGCAGCUACAAGGUGACAGCAUGGUAAGGUGCCUCCUUUUGGGUCAUCCCAGCAAAUCGGUACAAGUUAUAAUUAAAACUGCACGAACAGCCCUGGGGACGUGGCAA